GACAGAGGGUGCAAACGUUGUUCGGAAUUACUGGGCGUAAAGCGCGCGCAGGCGGCACACCAAGUACCCUAUGAAAUCUCCUUGCUCAACGGGGAGGGUGUUGGGUAGACUGGUGAGCUAGAGGACGGUAGAGGGGGGUAGAAUGCUGGUGUAGCGGUGAAAUGCGUAGAGAUCAGCAGGAAUACCCGUGGCGAAGGCGGCCC
rnacentral:rRNA from 1 species